UCUCUUGUGGCUCAGCUGGUAAAGUAUCCACUUGUAAUGCGGGAGACCUGGGUUCGAUCCCGGGCUUGGGAA
rnacentral:tRNA from 1 species